AGCGGAGGAAAAGAAACCAACAGGGAUUGCCUCAGUAACGGCGAGUGAAGCGGCAAAGGCUCAAAUUUUAAAGCUGGCACCUUCGGUGUCCGCGUUGUAAUUUUGUGAGGCAUCUCCGGGUAGGGCGCCGGCCUAAGUUCCUUGGAACAGGACGUCAUAGAGGGUGAGAAUCCCGUGCUUGGCUGGCUGUCCCCGUCCAUGUGAGGUGUCUUCGACGAGUCGAGUUGUUUGGGAAUGCAGCUCAAAAUGGGUGGUAAAUUUCAUCUAAAGCUAAAUAUUGGUGGGAGACCGAUAGCGCACAAGUAGAGUGAUCGAAAGAUGAAAAGCACUUUGAAAAUAGAGUUAAAAAGUACGUGAAAUUGUUGAAAGGGAAGCGCUUGAGACCAGACUUCGGUGGGGGGUGAUCAGCUGUCCUUCUGGGCGGUGCACUUGCUCCCCUCCGGGCCAGCAUCGGUUGGGGCGGCGGGAUAAAGAUCCCGGGAAUGUGGCUCCUUUCGGGGAGUGUUAUAGCCCGGGUGAAUGCCGCCAGCUCCGACCGAGGACCGCGCCUUCGGGCUAGGAUGCUUGGCAUAAUGGUCUUCAGCGACCCGUCU
rnacentral:rRNA from 1 species